rnacentral:rRNA from 1 species
AGCAGCCGCGGUAAUUCCAGCUCCAAUAGCGUAUAUUAAAGUUGUUGCAGUUAAAAAGCUCGUAGUUGAAUUUCGGGACCAAUAUGUCGGUCGUGCUUCGGUACGUACUUGCAUUAUUGGUUUCUCCCUUCUGAGGAACCAUGAUGUCAUUAAUUUGGUGUCGUGGGAAAUCAGGACUGUUACUUUGAAAAAAUUAGAGUGUUUAAAGCAGGCUCGCGCUUGAAUACAUUAGCAUGGAAUAAUGAAAUAGGACGUUUGAUUCUAUUUUGUUGGUUUCUAGGAUCGACGUAAUGAUUAAUAGGGAUAGUUGGGGGCAUUAGUAUUCAAUUGUCAGAGGUGAAAUUCUUGGAUUUAUUGAAGACUAACUACUGCGAAAGCAUUUGCCAAGGAUGUUUUCAUUAAUCAAGAACGAAAGUUAGGGGAUCGAAGACGAUCAGAUACCGUCGUAGU